rnacentral:rRNA from 1 species
UACGGAGGGUGCAAGCGUUAUCCGGAUUUACUGGGUUUAAAGGGUGCGUAGGUGGGUCUGUAAGUCAGUGGUGAAAUCUCCGGGCUUAACCCGGAAACUGCCAUUGAUACUAUAGGUCUUGAAUAUCCUGGAGGUGAGCGGAAUAUGUCAUGUAGCGGUGAAAUGCUUAGAUAUGACAUAGAACACCAAUUGCGAAGGCAGCUCACUACGGGAUUAUUGACACUGAGGCACAAAAGCGUGGGGAUCAAACAGG